UUAGGACAUUGCCUUAGGAGUUUGCUGGUGCCCUCUUAAGGAGUUCCCUUCAGCGUAUGCUAUAUUGAACUGACUUCAUCUUGAAAAAAGUGGGUUUCUGGAACGUCUGUAAAUAGCUUAUUUGGGAAGCUAUACAUGUAUACAAGGAGCAAGAGUGCAAAAACUGCCACGUAGAAAGUGCCCAGUACAUCUGUUCUUGAGGAACACCAUCCCCUCGGUAGCCACUGGGUCACACGAGACAUAUUCAAUGGUUCUACCAAAUGAAAAGCACCGCAAAUAAUGUAACUAUUAACGAUACUGCAAGAAAAUGUUAAAUGCACGUGAUGACAUGUGGUGUUGGAAUCUGCGAUCCUGGUUGUUUUUCGCGUCCUGAAAUCCCCGGAGUUUCCGAAAAAUCGGGAAGACAAAGAUUUGGGGACCCGAUGAGAGUACUGCAAGCCUGUACUGUUAGCGCAAUCGCCACGCAGAAUGGUGGCAGAGUAUGACUGGCGGAACUGUAGGCAGAGUGAGCAGCCUUCACAUUAUAUUGCACAACGGACAGGUGGCUGCAACUAGGGGCCCGACGCGAAAUGCACACGAGCUGUGGGAACAGAGGAUUGUUUCAGAUGCAUGCAUCCCUGGACUGAAACUACAACGAAGUGAUAGAAUGCGACGCAAAGUGUGCUACAGGUAUCACGAACUACAAAUGCACGGCGGUCAUUAGAACGUCGAUCUGAAGCGAAACUGCAGUUUCGCUACCAAAAAGCUGAGAAAGGCAUAUGCAGCAGUGGGACUCAGAACGUCUGCUCCAUCACUCAUGUUUUCCCAUCAUAGAAGCUCACUUGUUGCACCUGUUCUUUGUGCUAAAGUGAUGUUACUACGGAAGGUAAUGCACAUCAACGUACCAACAUUUCCAGAAAGCCGUCAUAUUGUGUCAAGGAAACAGCUAACGGGGGAACUCGAAGCGGGAGCGAGCGAGCGCGAUACGAUGAUCACGAUAGCAAUCGUCUGUCUCACAAUAUCGUAAAUCCGUGAGUGAAUGCGAUUUUUUCGUAUUUACAGUAUAAUCAUUCACAAAACCACAAACAUGCACCUGUAAACCAAACAAAAAAUGAAUCUUAUAAUGUCAAAAGUAGAAAGUGACGGAAUGACGAACAUUUAAUCCCACUUGCACUCACUAUACAUUGUACUAUUCCAUUCAUCACAUUCGGAAACAGUCUUUGAGAGCAACAACGCAAGAGGCGUACGCCUUUUUUGUGACACUUAUGCUGUUCAUAAUUGUCACAAAAAGGCGUACGCCUCCCGUUUUCGACAAACCAACCGUUUCGACAUAACGAUAUCAUUCGAGAUGAUGGUUGGCUAGGAGUGUGCUAUACGGUGAAGUUCAUUUUUAAGAGUGUAGGUGGUAACUACAGAAGUUACCACCUUUUCACAGCCUUUUUUUUCUUCUUAGAGUGCGAGACGACGAGAGACGACGAUACUAAAGAGUUUUGAUACAUCGUACACUAUCGCUUUUGCGUACAUAAGGGAUAUCGUGGUGGUUCUACGCACUGCAAGAGGGUCGUUAUGUUUUGCGCGUGCGCCGAACCACCAACACUAGUGGUUUUGGUAUAUCGUACGCUAUAUCGCAUUUGCGUACAUAAGUGGCAGCGUGGUGCUUCUGCGCAAUGCGCAAAGCUCUGCUUCUGUCUUGCGCGUGCGCAGAACCACCAACGCUAUCCCUUACGUACGCAAAGGCGAUAGCGUACGAUGCACAAAAACUCUCUAUUAUCAUGAGCGACGCUCGCGACGUUGAGAUGAGCACAAUUUCUAAUUCGGUUGAUAUGACUGUUCCUCGAUGUUAAGAAUCCCUCUGAUUUCGACUGAAAUCAACACCACUAGUGUACCACUUGUAAAGUUUCUAGUGAAAAUCGGAAUAAUUGUUUACUUGCUUGUGAAUGAUUUGAUAUCAAGGCUAUUUGUAGCUUUAAUUAAGGAACUAUUAUGAUAGUAUUCAUUAGCUUUGGUAUCUGUUUGCGUGUCGUGCAUAUUACUUGUUCUCUCACGGCAUUCACGAUGUCUAAUUUUUUUUCUUAUUUCAGCUCCUCAGUCACCACCGCCGAGUUAUGUGCGUGGCUACUUACGCUAUUGUUUGCAGUAUCUUCCAGGCCACUUCUAUGGAGUUAAUGAAGGUCUGCAGGAGAGGAUGCCUAGAUGCCUAGACUAUAAUUAUGAUGUGUUUUGGAUGAUCUACAAUUAUGGUAAAUCGAAAAUAAAAUGGGAAUACUUCCCCAAAAUCUA